rnacentral:rRNA from 1 species
GACGUAGGGCGCGAGCGUUGUCCGGAUUUAUUGGGCGUAAAGAGCUCGUAGGCGGCUUGUCGCGUCGACUGUGAAAACCCGAGGUUCAACUUCGGGCUUGCAGUCGAUACGGGCAGGCUAGAGUUCGGUAGGGGAGACUGGAAUUCCUGGUGUAGCGGUGAAAUGCGCAGAUAUCUGGAGGAACACCGGUGGCGAAGGCGGCAUCCUGGACCGGCACUGACACUGAGGAGCGAAAGCCAGGGGAGCAAACGGG